CCUACGGGAGGCAGCAGUGGGGAAUAUUGCACAAUGGGGGAAACCCUGAUGCAGCGACGCCGCGUGAGUGAAGAAGUAAUUCGUUAUGUAAAGCUCUAUCAGCAGGGAAGAAAAUGACGGUACCUGAGUAAGAAGCCCCGGCUAACUACGUGCCAGCAGCCGCGGUAAUACGUAGGGGGCAAGCGUUAUCCGGAUUUACUGGGUGUAAAGGGAGCGCAGGCGGCGCGCCAAGUCUGAUGUGAAACCCCGGGGCUCAACUCCGGGCAUGCAUUGGAAACUGGCGGGCUGGAGUGCCGGAGAGGGAA
rnacentral:rRNA from 1 species